AUCACAUUUACAAAAGAAACUCCUAGUCUCGUCGCGAACAGACUUAGGUGUAGGAGAAAAAAAGAGAGGUGUGGGACAAUCCUAAACCCUUAGGCCAUUCUUAAUUUUUCACUAAAGUAUAUUUCUGCCCAUGUUCUUUCUACCUUUUAUAUUUUUGCUCAUGACGUUAUCAAAGACCGAAGCAGGUGCAAAAGUUCACUGUACGAGGACGUUAUAACCUUACCGCAACAAGUGUGACUUCGAUAUCAAAAAAUUCACUUCUGUUGAUCUGACAAUGGCUGGGCUCGAAAUGGAUAUUUUACUAAAGCUUUUAUUGAAGAAGUUAUUCAAGAAUACGGAGUCAAUAAAAAAGGAUCGUCAAAAGGUAAUUCUAAAAUCCACCAGCUCUCAAAGAUUAUAAUAUCCCAAAUAAUAAACGCACAAAACAAUAUAGGAGUUAUCAUUCAUAACAAAGCAGUAAAUACUCAAGGAAACCGAAAUAAUUUUCAAAUAAACGUCGGUGGAUAAUCAGACCCCUACUACUAUUUAGUUUCUGAUAGGUUUGGAUCUUCACACAACUAAAUGCCGAAACAAAAAUAGAAGAAGCCGUACCCUUACAUGUUACCUUAAAUCAAUGAAUAAAGGAGAUAUCGUUUCUAUUACGAGUAUUAA